AUUGAACGCUGGCGGCAGGCCUAACACAUGCAAGUCGAACGGUAACAGGAAGAAGCUUGCUUCUUUGCUGACGAGUGGCGGACGGGUGAGUAAUGUCUGGGAAACUGCCUGAUGGAGGGGGAUAACUACUGGAAACGGUAGCUAAUACCGCAUAACGUCGCAAGACCAAAGAGGGGGACCUUCGGGCCUCUUGCCAUCGGAUGUGCCCAGAUGGGAUUAGCUAGUAGGUGGGGUAACGGCUCACCUAGGCGACGAUCCCUAGCUGGUCUGAGAGGAUGACCAGCCACACUGGAACUGAGACACGGUCCAGACUCCUACGGGAGGCAGCAGUGGGGAAUAUUACACAAUGGGCGCAAGCCUGAUGCAGCCAUGCCGCGUGUAUGAAGAAGGCCUUCGGGUUGUAAAGUACUUUCAGCGGGGAGGAAGGGAGUAAAGUUAAUACCUUUGCUCAUUGACGGUACCCGCAGAAGAAGCACCGGCUAACUCCGUG
rnacentral:rRNA from 1 species